rnacentral:rRNA from 1 species
AGUAACGCGUGGAUAACCUACCUAUAAGACUGGGAUAACUUCGGGAAACCGGAGCUAAUACCGGAUAAUAUUUUGAACCGCAUGGUUCAAAAGUGAAAGACGGUCUUGCUGUCACUUAUAGAUGGAUCCGCGCUGCAUUAGCUAGUUGGUAAGGUGACGGCUUACCAAGGCAACGAUGCAUAGCCGACCUGAGAGGGUGAUCGGCCACAUUGGAACUGAGACACGGUCCGAG